rnacentral:rRNA from 1 species
UAAGGAAUAUUGGGCAAUGGACGCAAGUCUGACCCAGCCAUGCCGCGUGAAGGAUGACAGCCCUACGGGUUGUAAACUUCUUUUGUACGGGAAAAAACCCCCCGACGUGUUGGGGGCUGAUGGUACCGUAAGAAUAAGCAUCGGCUAACUCCGUGCCAGCAGCCGCGGUAAUACGGAGGAUGCAAGCGUUAUCCGGAUUCAUUGGGUUUAAAGGGUGCGUAGGCGGGAUGAUAAGUCAGUGGUGAAAUCCUACAGCUUAACUGUAGAACUGCCAUUGAUACUGUCAACCUUGAGUACAUUUGAAGUGGGCGGAAUGUGUCAUGUAGCGGUGAAAUGCUUAGAUAUGACACAGAACACCGAUAGCGAAGGCAGCUCACUAAACUGUAACUGACGCUGAGGCACGAAAGCGUGGGGAUCAAACAGG